UCAAUCAAUGACUAGGGAACUGAUCCCACUGUCAAGCAAUAAGCCAUCAGCUAUUUUUCAUCGUUUUAUAUAUAUAUACACACACACAUGGCCAUCAAGGCGCAGUUUCUGCACAGACUAUAGUGCUCAGCUCUUAUUGGUAUUUAAUAGACAUCCUCCGAUGAACACGUCGCUGAAAUGCAAGAAAGCGUCUUGGAUGAAGAGGACGGAGUGACAACACUGAUCUCACAACAGGACGUCAGAUCCACACAACAGCGCUGCGCAUCUCAAGGCUUCCUCUUCCGCAUCACUGAGUCGGAUAAAAACACUGCAUUCAGACCCCGCCAACGCUGCCAUUUGCCCUCGCUGCGCGCACACACACACACACACCUGCCAGGUAUGGGGUUUGUCUGUCUCACACUGUGCGUCUGUCUGUGUUCGUCUGUAUUUGUUGAAAGCUUUCCUCCGCACCAGACACAGUCAGUUAGGGUGCAGGGA